CGCAGUGAUUUGGGGUUCAAGCCCUUCAGAGAGCGGCUCCAUCUGCUCCUUGCCUGGGGUGGAACAGCAGCGCCCAGGCAAUGGGAAGUGAUUUGUGUGAAUCAAUCACAAGCUCAUGUUUUAUGAAUGACUCCGAGAGGCCUGGGUCACACCGAAACCGCACCACUUCCAGCUUCAUGUCUUUGUUUGGAAUUUGCAGCAGAAUUCAUCUAUCACUCACUAUCACAGGGCUCUGCAAAAGCAGAUCUUAGAUGGGUUUGAAGCUUUUGUAUACUGAAGGCGUCUCCGUCUCGCUGCAGAAGGAACCGACAGGGGACAGUGAGAUCUAAGGCUGGUUACAGAGCCCGUUAAUUGAUCCUCGCAGGAAGUUCCAAAAAGCUAUUAACCCCAAACUGAAACAUGAUGCAAAGCAACAUGUGCUGAACGCUGACUUCCUUCCUGCAUUCACCAAGGAACACCCAGGAUCCAUCCCUGUCCCUAGGCAUUACUGUAUGGCUGACAAAUGAUGGACAUGUUUUGCUGACCGUGUACCAUCAGCUAAGCAAAUAUGAGACUCUUGAGCUCCCCAACAGCAAGAGGAACUCCAUCCUGUGCAAAGGCAACAAUGCUUUACAUGCCACAUGUAACGUGCCUUAAGGAUUCAAAACAGGAUUUCAGCAAGACUUAACCAGGGCAAAUACCUUGUGCCUGACCCCUGUGCAAGCUAACGCCAUCCCCUGAGAACCAACUCAGGCUAUAGGAAGGUAUGCAGGAAUGAAAGGGCUCUUUGAUCCGGAGGAGCAGCACAGAUUCCCAGCUGGCUAAAUCAGUUCCCUCGACUGCUGUGGACAACACAGAUGGGCUGUAUUCUCCGUAUCCAUCCAUAAACAAACCCAUUGACUUUG